CACUGGGAACAGCCAUGGCUGGCGGGUGCAUGGAUGUGCCAAAAUGAUUCUGUGAGGGAUGAGCUGGAGAGGUUCAGGAACCAGCCACUUAGGGCCAUUAACAUUUCAGCAGUGGUUUCCACCUAGGACUAAAUUCAGACUUACUGCAAUUCCAGGCUCUUAGCGUAGACACAUCUUCUCUGUGUCUUUCUCAUUCUCUUUAUCUCUCUGCUGCUCUCCCCCUGCCUUUCUCUCUUCUUCUGUUACUCACUCAUUCUUUCUCUCUCUCACACGUAGCUAAUUGAUAGUUUCCCAUAAUGCACAGCAACCACCUGGCCUGUAUUUCGCAAUGCUUUCACUAUUAAGCCUAUCCUGCCUCCCUGGGCAGCUUUAUCAGCACUAGCAAACGUGGUUGAAAAAGAUCAGGUCGUCUGGCCUGACUGGUUGUGACAGGCACUUGUUAACUGGAGGAGACAGUUCAGAUAAGGGACAGGAGGGUCCCAGCCCAGCAGGGUGGGUCAGCACCAUUUCACCAGGCAGCUGAUAUGGCUGAGCUGAUGAUCUUGUUGCUUUAAUCUUCCUCAGAGGCCUCUUCUUGCUCCCUUUUCCAGUUACCAGCCAUGGCAUUGCCUGAGCAAGCCAUCUCCUCGGGCAGCAGGGAGGUGGGGCCUGAAUCGGCUGUCCCAGUGUUCACUCAAGCUACACUCAAGAUGGAUCCAGUGCCUGGAAACUCAGAUGAAGGCAAUGUAAAUGGGGCGUGGCUACUAUUUCAGACAACUGUCUAUGGCUGCGCUGAAUCCUGCCUGUCUCUGCCCAGCUCCAUUGAAUUUCCCUGUACAAAGCCCAUUUGCUUGGAGUCUGUGUGCAAGUGUGUGUGUGUGGGGGGGGUGUUAGGGUAAUUGCCUAGGUUUGGGAAGACCCAGUUUAUAGGCCCCCUCUGUGACCUUGGGCAAGUCAUUCAAUCUCUGUGCCUCAGUUCCCCAUCUGUACUAUGCAGACAAUUGCCCUGCUCUGCUUGCAGGAGUAAGGAUCAUAAUUAUACUAGAGGCUGGAAGGCGCUCAGAUACUCCAGCGAUGGGGGCCAGGUCAGUACCAGAGGUAGAGAGGUGGUGAAUUUCAACCAGGAUGACUUGGUAAAGUCUUAACCCCAAAGGCCAGUCCAGGUAGUAUCCUCAGACUCCACUAGCAUCUCUCUAUUUGAGAGCUAUCACAUUUCUAUAGCUGCAGUGAUAGCAUCAAUAACAGAGCAAGUCCCAUGAAUAGGUGGAAGUGACCUGCAUUCGUGAAGCAAAGUAGCUAAAGGAGUCUGUACCAUUAAGAAGAGUGCAUGCAGGUGCCUUUCCUGACCUGCUCUAUAAACACAGCCCAUGCACCGCGUCAAGUACAAACUCACCCCCUGCCUGGGCUUUGGCUUUAUUCGUGAAGGAAGUAACAGUAAUAGAAUAUCAAGAUCAGCUCAGACCUUCUCCCCAGGCCUGCCUGCUCCCAGGGCUCCUCCAUUUGAAUGGCUCAGCCCUCACCCUAGAUCCUGUUCUCUCCUCAGAGAGCCACACCCAUCUCCCUUGUAUCUAAGGAGGUAACUACCUGCAAUAGUGAGUCCAUAGAGCCUGCUUAGCCUUUCCCAAUAGGCAUGUUACCUGGGGAGGGUAUUGCAGGCAAUCACUGCCCAGCCUCUUACAGACAGGGCAGAGAAAGUGAAUGGGUAGCACCGUGUGUGGCCGGUGACUGGAGAAUGUAAAGGCCUAGCAGCACUGCCAUUGGCCAGCGAGGAAGCAGAGCUCCCAGCGCAGUGGCACAGAGAGCUCUCCUCGCUCCAUGCACCUGCUGUGUGUGCAUGGAGAGACCCUGAUGACUCCCCUACCAGCUCCUGCGCCACACAAAUAUCCCAGAUCAAAUGCUGCAGUGCUAUUGGCGUGAAAGGAGAGUGGUAAUGGCUCCCCUUGGUUACACCUGCCACAGAGGACAGCUGCUAAUACUACCUGCACUUGCAGCCUGUGUAUGUCAAGCAUGAGUCAGCAGCGCCGAGCUGGGAUAUGUGAUACAGGCCCAGUGAGAGCCCAUGGAUACUAAGCAGCAGGCAGUAAUGCACCUUGGAGUCUCUGAUACAGGCUGCAGCCUGAAGAUGGAGCCUAAUGUGUCACUGGAGAAGCCAGUUCAGAUUACAGCCAGAGCCUGCACCCGCAUUCAGCUGACAUGUCUAGGCCAUGGGGUCUCUAGACAACAAUUGUCAGGGGAUGGGGUUUUCUGACACUGGAAAUGGAGAUCGAAUACCAAAGCCAGCCUAGGGAGACCAGCCAGCCAAAGACAGCCUGACCUGGGAUGAUCAUACCUGCUAUAGCUGCCUAGCGUGUUUUCUAGGUUGAGUCGCAGAGCAGGUCGACUGGAGGAAUGUGUGAGCCACACGCCCCCAGCCAGUCCUGGCCCCUCAUCCCAGCCAAGGGAAAUAGCAGGAGGGAGAGGAGAUAAAUGAAGAGAACGCAGAGUCGGCUCUGAGUUGAGACUGUUGGUGGCAUCUGCAGUCCAGUCUAUGAAUCUGAAGUUCUAUGCCUAGCUCUGCCACAGACAUCUUGGGUGAUACUGGGUCAAGUCACUUCCCUUCUUUCUGCCUCAGUUUCUGUUAUCUGUGAAAUAGGGACAGUACUUUCCCAUCUCUCUUGGAGGUUGUGAGGCUAAGCUUAUUAAUACUAGUAAAGUGCUUUGAGACCCUCACAUAGGCAGU